UUUCGCCUACGGGAGGCAGCAGUGAGGAAUAUUGGUCAAUGGCCGAGAGGCUGAACCAGCCAAGUCGCGUGAGGGAAGAAUGUCCUAUGGAUUGUAAACCUCUUUUGUCAGGGAGCAAAGUCACCCACGUGUGGGUGUUGGAGAGUACCUGAAGAAAAAGCAUCGGCUAACUCCGUGCCAGCAGCCGCGGUAAUACGGAGGAUGCGAGCGUUAUCCGGAUUUAUUGGGUUUAAAGGGUGCGUAGGCGGGAUGCCAAGUCAGCGGUAAAAAUGCGGUGCUCAACGCCGUCGAGCCGUGGAAACUGG
rnacentral:rRNA from 1 species